rnacentral:misc_RNA from 1 species
AACGCACAUUGCGCCCUUUGGUAUUCCGAAGGGCACACCUGUUCGAGCGUCAUUACACCAAUCAAGUUUUACUUGGUAUUGGGCACUUUGUCCCUAUUUAUUAGGGACAGGCCUUAAAGACAUUGGCGGCAUAGUCCGGCUUCGAGCGUAGCAAAAAACAUCGCUUUUGGAGUUAACUGGAUUAUUGUUCCUUGUCCAUAAAACUAGAGUAGAAAUACUCGACUUUUUCUAAAGGUUGACCUCGGAUCAGGUGGGGAUACCCGCUGAACUUAA